GCAGCAAUGACUGACUCCUGAACAAGACCCAGUGAGCUCCUGACCAAACACGGCAGAGGGAAAGCUGUCCUUGUCACCUGAACUUCCUACUAUAACCCAGGGUGUGACCAGACCCCCAGAAACCUCAAUAAGUUCAUGAAUGCAUAAAACAAGUGACCUGAUAGUCAACAGAGAUUUUACCCAGAGAGCAGGAUGGAUUGAAAGCAUCACAUGUUGCUGAGGCUGUGCCACUCUGCUCAUACCUGAACAAAAGCAAGUUAAAUCGGGAGCAUCCAUUUUCUCUGGUGAGCCAAGCAGCACCUUCCUGGCACAUUUACAGGCAGCCAGAUGAGCCUGAAGAGGUCUCGGCUGCUGGAGCUGGCUGGAGCAGUUGAUCGGCUUACCUACUGUCCUGCCAGGAUCAGGGCUUGAAUGAGGGCAAGCUGGCUGUGACCCAACCCAGAUAAGUCUAAGGGUGUGCUGACAGGCUAGGGAAGAGAGGGAGCUGGGAGAACUUCUGCUCUCUGUGACAAUUACUUGCUUUUUAUUGUUCAGAUUUUCAGACCCGGGGAUCUCAGUGUACUGGC